AUUGAACGCUGGCGGCAGGCCUAACACAUGCAAGUCGAGCGGAUGAAGGGAGCUUGCUCCUGGAUUCAGCGGCGGACGGGUGAGUAAUGCCUAGGAAUCUGCCUGGUAGUGGGGGAUAACGUCCGGAAACGGGCGCUAAUACCGCAUACGUCCUGAGGGAGAAAGUGGGGGAUCUUCGGACCUCACGCUAUCAGAUGAGCCUAGGUCGGAUUAGCUAGUUGGUGGGGUAAAGGCCUACCAAGGCGACGAUCCGUAACUGGUCUGAGAGGAUGAUCAGUCACACUGGAACUGAGACACGGUCCAGACUCCUACGGGAGGCAGCAGUGGGGAAUAUUGGACAAUGGGCGAAAGCCUGAUCCAGCCAGGCCGCGUGUGUGAAGAAGGUCUUCGGAUUGUAAAGCACUUUAAGUUGGGAGGAAGGGCAGUAAGUUAAGACCUUGCUGUUUGGACGUUACCAACAGAAUAAGCACCGGCUAACUGCGU
rnacentral:rRNA from 1 species